AGGAUAAACGCUGGCGGCGUGCCUAAAACAUGCAAGUCGAACGGACCCUUCGGGGUUAGUGGCGAACGGCUGAGUAACACGUGGGUGACCUGCCUUCGAACGGGGGAUAACUGCCCGAAAGGGUGGCUAAUACCGCAGAUGUCUGAUCCUCGGUGAUGAGACUGAACUUCCGGGGUUCGGAGAGGGGCCUGCGUCCGAUUAGCUAGCUGGUGGGGUAACGGCCUACCAGGGCGACGAUCGGUAGCUGGUCUGAGAGGAUGAUCAGCCAGACUGGGACUGCGAGACGGCCCAGACUCCUACGGGAGGCAGCAGUUAGGAAUUUUGGGCAAUGGGCGAAAGCCUGACCCAGCAACGCCGCGUGGGUGAAGAAGGCCUUCGGGUCGUAAAGCCCUUUUCCAGGGGAAGAUAAUGACGGUACCCUGGGAAUCAGCCCGGCUAACUACGUGCCAGCAGCCGC
rnacentral:rRNA from 1 species